rnacentral:tRNA from 1 species
UAAGACUAUAUAUAAGGCUGCUAACCUUUAUUUAAUGAUUCCAUUUGGUCUUUA